rnacentral:rRNA from 1 species
UACGUAGGGUGCGAGUGUUGUCCGGAAUUAUUGGGCGUAAAGAGCUCGUAGGCGGUGUGUCACGUCGUUCGUGAAAACCUGCAGCUUAACUGUGGGCGUGCGGUCGAUACGGGCAUCACUGGAGUUCGGCAGGGGAGACUGGAAUUCAUGGUGUAGCGGUGAAAUGCGCAGAUAUCAGGAGGAACACCGGUGGCGAAGGCGGGUCUCUGGGCCGAUACUGACGCUGAGGAGCGAAAGCGUGGGGAGCAAACAGG